AUACGUAGGUGGCGAGCGUUGUCCGGAAUUACUGGGCGUAAAGGAUGCGUAGGCGGAUAUUUAAGUCAGAUGUGAAACCCCCAGGCUUAACUUGGGGACUGCAUUUGAAACUGGAUAUCUAGAGUGCAGGAGAGGUAAGUGGAAUUCCUAGUGUAGCGGUGAAAUGCGUAGAGAUUAGGAAGAACACCAGUGGCGAAGGCGGCUUACUGGACUGUAACUGACGCUGAGGCAUGAAAGCGUGGGUAGCAAACAGGAUUAGAUACCCUGGUAGUCCACGCUGUAAACGAUGAAUACUAGGUGUGGGAGGUAUCGACUCCUUCCGUGCCGCCGCUAACGCAAUAAGUAAUCCACCUGGGGAGUACGACCGCAAGGUUGAA
rnacentral:rRNA from 1 species